rnacentral:rRNA from 1 species
GAUCAUGGCUCAGAUUGAACGCUGGCGGCAUGCCUUACACAUGCAAGUCGAACGGUAACAGGUCUUCGGAUGCUGACGAGUGGCGAACGGGUGAGUAAUAUAUCGGAACGUGCCCAGUCGUGGGGGAUAACGCAGCGAAAGCUGUGCUAAUACCGCAUACGAUCUCUGGAUGAAAGCGGGGGACUCGCAAGGGCCUCGCGCGAUUGGAGCGGCCGAUAUCAGAUUAGCUAGUUGGUGGGGUAAAAGCCCACCAAGGCGAUGAUCUGUAGCUGGUCUGAGAGGACGACCAGCCACACUGGAACUGAGACACGGUCCAGACUCCUACGGGAGGCAGCAGUGGGGAAUUUUGGACAAUGGGCGCAAGCCUGAUCCAGCAAUGCCGCGUGCAGGAUGAAGGCCUUCGGGUUGUAAACUGCUUUUGUACGGAACGAAACGGUCUGCCCUAAUACGGUGGGCUAAUGACGGUACCGUAAGAAUAAGCACCGGCUAACNAC